GGCUAAGGGGGCUAGCGGAUGGAAGUGCUAGUCUAAGGUCGUAGGAGGUUAUACAGGCAAAUCCGUAUAACAAUACUCCGAGAACUGAAAGGCUUUUUGAAGUCUUCGGAUGGAUAGAAGAACCCCUGAUGCCGUCGAGCCAAGAAAAGUUUCUAAGUUUAGCUAAUGUUGCCCGUACCGUAAACCGACACAGGUGGGUGGGAUGAGUAUUCUAAGGCGCGUGGAAGAACUCUCUUUAAGGAACUCUGCAAAAUAGCACCGUAUCUUCGGUAUAAGGUGUGGUUAGCUUCGUACUAGGAUUUACUCCGAAAGCGAAGAAACUUACAACAAAGAGUCCCUCCCGACUGUUUACCAAAAACACAGCACUCUGCUAACUCGUAAGAGGAUGUAUAGGGUGUGACGCCUGCCCGGUGCUCGAAGGUUAAUUGAUGGGGUUAGCAUUAGCGAAGCUCUUGAUCGAAGCCCGAGUAAACGGCGGCCGUAACUAUAACGGUCCUAAGGUAGCGAAAUUCCUUGUCGGUUAAAUACCGACCUGCAUGAAUGGCGUAACGAGAUGGGAGCUGUCUCAAAGAGGGAUCCAGUGAAAUUGUAGUGGAGGUGAAAAUUCCUCCUACCCGCGGCAAGACGGAAAGACCCCGUGGACCUUUACUACAGCUUGACACUGCUACUUGGAUAAGAAUGUGCAGGAUAGGUGGGAGGCUUUGAGUAUAUGACGCCAGUUGUAUAUGAGCCAUUGUUGAGAUACCACUCUUUCUUAUUUGGGUAGCUAACCAGCUUGAGUUAUCCUCAAGUGGGACAAUGUCUGGUGGGUAGUUUGACUGGGGCGGUCGCCUCCCAAAUAAUAACGGAGGCUUACAAAGGUUGGCUCAGAACGGUUGGAAAUCGUUCAUAGAGUAUAAAGGUAUAAGCCAGCUUAACUGCAAGACAUACAAGUCAAGCAGAGACGAAAGUCGGUCUUAGUGAUCCGGUGGUUCUGUGUGGAAGGGCCAUCGCUCAAAGGAUAAAAGGUACCCCGGGGAUAACAGGCUGAUCUCCCCCAAGAGCUCACAUCGACGGGGAGGUUUGGCACCUCGAUGUCGGCUCAUCGCAUCCUGGGGCUGGAGCAGGUCCCAAGGGUAUGGCUGUUCGCCAUUUAAAGCGGUACGCGAGCUGGGUUCAGAACGUCGUGAGACAGUUCGGUCCCUAUCUGCCGUGGGCGUAAGAAGAUUGAAGAGAUUUGACCCUAGUACGAGAGGACCGGGUUGAACAAACCACUGGUGUAGCUGUUGUUCUGCCAAGAGCAUCGCAGCGUAGCUAAGUUUGGAAAGGAUAAACGCUGAAAGCAUCUAAGCGUGAAGCCAACUCUAAGAUGAAUCUUCUCUAAGCUCUCUAGAAGACUACUAGUUUGAUAGGCUGGGUGUGUAAUGGAUGAAAGUCCUUUAGCUGACCAGUACUAAUAGAGCGUUUGGCUUAUCUUUAAUAAAGCAU
rnacentral:rRNA from 1 species